AUACGUAGGUGACAAGCGUUAUCCGGAUUUACUGGGCGUAAAGGGCGUGUAGGCGGUCUUGCAAGUCAGAAGUGAAAUUCCUGAGCUCAACUCGGGCGCUGCUUCUGAAACUGCAGGACUUGAGUGCUGGAGGGGAUAGCGGAAUUCCUAGUGGAGCGGUAAAAUGCGCAGAUAUAAGGAAGAACACCGGUGGCGAAGGCGGCUAUCUGGACAGUAACUGACGCUGAGGCGCGAAAGCGUGGGUAGCAACCAGUAUUAUAUGCACUGGUAGUCCACGCCGUAAACGAUGAAUACUAGGUGUAGGGGGUAUCGACUCCCUCUGUGCCGCAGUUAACACAAUAAGUAUUCAGCCUGGGGAGUACGGCCGCACGGUUGAAACUCAAAUGAAUUGACGGGG
rnacentral:rRNA from 1 species